UAUUUUAGUACAGAGGCUGCGCGUGCGGCACCGGGAGUGCUGGGAGGGACUGGUUUGGACUGGGAGCACUGGUUUGUAAUGGGAGCACUGGUUCAUACUGGGAUCCCUGUUCCAUACUGGAAUCAUUGGUCCAUACUGGGAGCACUGGUUCAUACUGGGAGCACUGGUUCAUACUGGAAUCAUUGGUCCAUACUGGGAGCACUGGUUCAUACUGGGAUCCCUGUUCCAUACUGGGAUCAUUGGUCCAUACUGGGAGCACUGGUUUUUACUGGGCCCGGCCCCCCAGCACCACGCAGAGCCCGCGGAUCUUUCUGGAAAGUUUUUAAUCAGAACCUGGAAAAUCCAACGCAGAGGGGGCGUGGCCUGGGCUUGGCCCCUCCCCCCAGUGUCCCCGCACCCAGGGGCGGUGCCCGGGGCGGGGCUACAGCAGGACAGAAAUGGGGGGAAGGGAGGCCCCACCCCCGGCCCCGCCCCUCCCCCACCCAUACCGGGGCCUUCCUGAGUGCGGGGGGAGGGGCAGCCCUGGGGGGAGGGGCGGGGACAGCUCUGUCCCCAACGUGGGGGGGAGGGGCAGGGGACACCGGCAGGGGGAGGGGACACCCCCACCCCCCCUAAGGCCACCCCCGGACUGUCCCCGUGUCCCCCGUAAGGCUCAGGGACCCCCAGGAUGUCCCCACGCGUCCCCUGGGCCACCCCCGGCUGCUCCUGAGCCACCCGGGAUGUCCCCAAAGCCACCCGGGAUGUCCCCAAAGCCACCCGGGAUGUCCCUGCGCCAUCCACGAUGUCCCCCAGGACCCCUCAGAAGGGCCCUGGGCCACCUCUCCUGUCCCCAGAGGUCCCUGUCCCCAAUGAGCCUCCCCAGAAGGUGCCACCAGGAUGUCCCCAUGAAUGAAACCCCGGCCCUGUCCCCAAGGCCCAUCCAGGAUGUCCCCGGGUGUAUCCAGGCGGUCUCAGCUCCAUCCAGGGUGUCCCCAUGGUCACCUGGACCCCCACAAGGUCCAGCCAGGUGACCCCGGGAGCUCCCAGGUCCAUCCAGGACAUUCCAGAUCCAUCCAGGAUGUUCCUGGACCCCACAGAAGUUCCAUCCAGGGCUCCUGGGUCCAUCCAGGUCCAUCCUGGUGCUCCCGUGUCCCCCCGUGGGUGUCCCCUCCAUGUCCGUGGCUCCGUGGCCACCCCAGAGGCACUCCCAGGUCACCGUGGCCGUGUCCCCAAAAGCCGCAGCCCCGAGGUGGCCAUGGCCGUGUCCCCAGGGGUGACAGCCCUGAGGUGGCCGUGUCCCCAGGAGCCAGAGCUCCAAGGUGGCCGUGGCCGUGUCCCCAAGAGCUGCAGCUUGGUGGCCACUCCUGGAUCACCAUGUCCGUGUCCCCAGAGCUCCAUGGCCACCUCAGCUGUCCCCAGGUGACUCCCACUGUCCCAUCCGUUGCUCAGAGCUUGAGCUCCGUGGCCACCUUGGAGCCCCUCCUGGGUCACCGUGUCCGUGUCCCCGGAGCUCCAUGGCCACUCCUGGGUCACCACAUCCGUGUCCGUGUCCCCGGAGCUCGGUGGCCCCCCAGCCGUCCCCGCCGUGGCUCAGAGCUUGAGCUCGUUGGCCACCUUGGAGGCGAUGUUCUUGAAGGCCAUGGAGGUGCCGGCGAUGCGCUUGAAGCGGACGCCGUUGAGCGAGAGCCGGGGCAGCUUGCACACCUCCAUCUCCCACUGCACGAAGGAGUCGUGCCCGGGCGCGCCGUGGGCGCAGAGCAGCACGAAGCGCUCCUGGGGCUCGCAGCGGCAGCUGUUGGCGUCCAGCACCUUGCGGAUCUCGCGCAGCAUCUCCCCGGGCUCCAGCGAGCUCGUCGUCUUCAUGCUCCACGUGAAGCGCAGCGAGCGCGGCUUGGCGUCGCGCCCGGCGUCGCGGGGGUCCUUGUCGGGGCCCACCGCGGGUC
rnacentral:lncRNA from 1 species